GGUCGGCCCCUAAGGUGAGGCAGAAAUGCGUAGCCGAUGGGAAUCACGUUAAUAUUCGUGAACCAGAUGGUAGUGACGGAUCGCGCAGGUUCGUAUCCCCUUAUUGGAUUGGGGGUGCGAUGAGCCGGUUCCUGGAAAUAGCUCCAUCGACAUUGACCGUACCCUAAACCGACACAGGUGGACUGGUAGAGUAUACCAAGGCGCUUGAGAGAACUAUACUGAAGGAACUCGGCAAAUUGCAUGCGUAACUUCGGGAUAAGCAUGACUUCUAUCGGGGCAACCCUUUAGGAGUGGCACAAAAGAGGGGGUGGCGACUGUUUACUAAAAACACAGGGCUCUGCGAAGAUGCAAAUCGACGUAUAGGGUCUGACGCCUGCCCGGUGCCGGAAGGUUAAAAGGAGAGGUGCAAGCUUUGAAUUGAAGCCCCGGUAAACGGCGGCCGUAACGAUAGCGGUCCUAAGGUAGCGAAAUUCCUUGUCGGGUAAGUUCCGACCUGCACGAAUGGCGUAACGACUUCCCCACUGUCUCCAGUAUAGACUCAGCGAAAUUGAAUUCCCCGUGAAGAUGCGGGGUUCCUGCGGUCAGACGGAAAGACCCCAUGCACCUUUACUAUAGCUUUACGCUGGCAUUUGUGUCGGCAUGUGCAGGAUAGGUGGUAGGCUUUGAAGCAAGGACGCUAGUUCGUGUGGAGCCAAAAGAUGAGAUACCACCCUUAUCGUCAUAGAUGUCUAACCGCGGCAUAACAGUGUCCGGGACAGCGUAUGGUGGGUAGUUUGACUGGGGCGGUCGCCUCCCAAAGAGUAACGGAGGCGCGCGAUGGUGGGCUCAGAACGGUCGGAAAUCGUUCGACGAGUGCAAUGGCAUAAGCCUGCCUGACUGCGAGACCGACAGGUCGAGCAGAGACGAAAGUCGGUCAUAGUGAUCCGGUGGUCCCGCGUGGAAGGGCCAUCGCUCAACGAAUAAAAGGUACGCUGGGGAUAACAGGCUGAUGAUGCCCAAGAGUCCAUAUCGACGGCAUCGUUUGGCACCUCGAUGUCGGCUCAUCACAUCCUGGGGCUGGAGCAGGUCCCAAGGGUAUGGCUGUUCGCCAUUUAAAGUGGUACGUGAGCUGGGUUUAGAACGUCGUGAGACAGUUCGGUCCCUAUCUGCCGUGGGUGUAGGAAUAUUGAGAAGAGCUGACCCUAGUACGAGAGGACCGGGUUGGACGAAUCUCUGGUGGACCUGUUGUGGCGCCAGCCGCAUUGCAGGGUAGCUAAAUUCGGACGGGAUAACUGCUGAAAGCAUCUAAGCAGGAAGCCUCCUUCAAAACUAGUAUUCCCUUGAGAGCCGUGGAAGACCACCACGUCGAUAGGCCGGGUGUGGAAGCGCAGCAAUGUGUGAAGCUUACCGGUACUAAUAGCUCUAAAAAG
rnacentral:rRNA from 1 species